rnacentral:rRNA from 1 species
AUGGUAGGUCUUGAAGGCCCUGACCUUGAGAUCCCUCCUAAGCUCAUACUCCUCGCCAAUGUCGAGUGGGACGAGGGCGUGGUUGAGCUCGGACUGGUCCAUGGCGCGGUGCACGUCGAACAGCCGCUCCACGAGCUCCCUGAGGUACUUGGGGACGAAGAUGGUGGGCGGGCGCAGCCUGUAGAGCCCCCGCGUGGCCACGUACAUGGGGAGGCCUCCGAUGUGGUCGAGGUGGGCGUGCGAGAUGAAGAGGAAGUCCUGCGCCACGGCGCGCUGCGGGCACCGGCCUAUGUCGAAGGCGAGGCUCAGCGUCGGGAAGAUGACGCACGUCUCGUGCCCGCCGAUGGAGAUGCCCUCCACGGGGUACCCCUCGAUUUCCAGCCGGGGCUUCGCCUUAGCCUUUAUGGCUGGGGAGGGGCUUGGAGGAGGGGCCGUGGAGGUCGCCGCCUCGGCCGACUUGCCUCUCUUCGCCAUGCCACCGCCGCCGCCGCCGCCGCCGGGUGGAGGUACGAUUGGUGA